GUUUGCACCCCCCACCCCCGCACACACACCUACCUAUGACAUCACUCCUUAUGAAUAUUUAUACCAUCUAUUUAUUAUCCAAGCUUCCUGAACUUUUAAUAAAGUGGAAAAUAACAGCUCUGCAGAGUCAGUGUCUCCCCUAGGAAUUUCCUGAUGGAAAGGGAUAGUCGAGGUUGCAUCAGUCAAAAUGUAACCUACCUUCCUGGCAAGAGUUUAUUUGCAAGGUCCAGGUAACUUUGUCUGAAAGUUUUGGCCUCAGUUUCCUCCAGCAGAAGUGCCUCUGAGUUGACUUGAACUAUCUGGGAGCGAGGAAAUGGAUUGUGCUGACACAAGCACAACUAGGCAUUCCAGACCCAAGCCCAGAAGAUCUCCCAAACACUGAAGAGGCCUGGGUUAUCCACACCAUGCCCUUGUGCUUCUGCACUGCUUCUGCACUCAUAGCAAAGCUCUCAACCCUCCCCACUAGGAGUGCCUGCAGCAGUGAGACACAGAAGCCCUGUCUCCUCAUCUUGGCAAUGAGUUCAGGUAAAGGCCAGAAACCUAUAGAGAAUGCAUCUAAGAAAUGCUGGGAGAUCUGAAAUAGAUUUUUUUUUCCUGUUUCUCAACUAGCUCUAAUUACCAGUGUCCCGAAAAACAAGCCUAGAGGAGCAGCUUCAUCUGCAAAUGUGACUAUGUGAUAUGAACUUUUUGUUAAGGGCCAUAGGCCUGACUCUCAGCUGUAAUAACUCAGCCUACUUCUAUUGAAUUCAAUAGAAUUCAUCUGAUUUACACCAGUUGAGGAUCUGGCCUCAUAUCUUCUCAGAAGUCGGUUGUAUCCUCAAUGAUAAGGACGAAGAACUUUGUGAAAAUUGUACUGAAAUCCUGGAUACUUUGCCAGUUGGACUGCAAACUGCUGUGGAAAAACUUAUGGGGGAGGGCUAUAUUACCAUGAAGAAAUCAAAAAGAACUUGUGACUUUUGAACGCUUUUAAGAUUCAGAGGAUCAUGAACAAACAUUCCUUGCUUUUCAGCAUCAAUGAUUUUGUGUACCUGUGCCAUUGUAGUAUUGGCCCUAGACUACCAAUGACAAUGUUCAUUACACAUCAAUCUAUAAAGGACACACCACAACGACUCAUAAUUAAUCUAUCUCCUUCCUUCCUCUAUUUUGAUAUUGUGGUGUUAUGUUUCACCUGACCCAUUGGAUGCUUUAUAUGCAUUUUGGCAAAGGCAGAAAGAGCUCAGCCCUACAAAGAGUCAAGUGCCAGUCGAGCAUGUUGAAUUUUUUUUAAAUUUCAAAAUUUUGGUAAAAAAUUUAAUGAUGAAAUUUUCAUGAUUCCCCCCCCCCCUUUUUUUUUUGAGCAACUACAGAGCUGGUCAAAGUGUUGACAAAUUUCUAAAGGCAAGAAGAAAUUUUUUCUUUUAAAUAUUGGCCAGAUUUUUUUUUGCUCUGUUUUUCAACCAGCUCUAAUUAUGAGGGUUGCUGAAAAAUGAGCCUACAAAAGAACUGGCCAUCAAAAGAGAAAACAGCUUUGUCUUCAUUACCAUCGCAGCCUCUCUCCGAUGGCUGAAAAAUAAAGGUCUCACUCUAGUGUCCCAAAUUCUGCAAAGGCUACUAGAUUACAUCCAUCUUUGUUGUUGAUGGCGCUAUUCCCCUGCAGUUGUACACACAUUCCCCAUGUU